AGAGUUUGAUCCUGGCUCAGGACGAACGCUGGCGACGUGCUUAACACAUGCAAGUCGAACGGAAAGGCCCUUCGGGGUACUCGAGUGGCGAACGGGUGAGUAACACGUGGGUGAUCUGCCCUGCACUCUGGGAUAAGCCUGGGAAACUGGGUCUAAUACCGGAUAGGACCACACACUUCAUGGUGAGUGGUGCAAAGCUUUUGCGGUGUGGGAUGAGCCCGCGGCCUAUCAGCUUGUUGGUGGGGUAAUGGCCCACCAAGGCGACGACGGGUAGCCGGCCUGAGAGGGUGACCGGCCACACUGGGACUGAGAUACGGCCCAGACUCCUACGGGAGGCAGCAGUGGGGAAUAUUGCACAAUGGGCGCAAGCCUGAUGCAGCGACGCCGCGUGAGGGAUGACGGCCUUCGGGUUGUAAACCUCUUUCAGUAGGGACGAAGCGAAAGUGACGGUACCUACAGAAGAAGGACCGGCCAACUACGUGCCAGCAGCCGCGGUAAUACGUAGGGUCCGAGCGUUGUCCGGAAUUACUGGGCGUAAAGAGCUCGUAGGUGGUUUGUCACGUUGUUCGUGAAAACCCACAGCUUAACUGUGGGCGUGCGGGCGAUACGGGCAGACUAGAGUACUGCAGGGGAGACUGGAAUUCCUGGUGUAGCGGUGAAAUGCGUAGA
rnacentral:rRNA from 1 species